UUCAUUUCUACCCGUUCUGAAGUUCUAUGAUUUGAAGACAACACUUUCAAUUUCCUGAAACUGCAAGAAAGAGGAAACAUGACUGACAAAAAGCAAAAGUAAACACGGGAGCAGCGCAUCUUCCAUGAGCAGGGAGCAGGGAGGCGGGGAGCAGAGGGGAGGGUGAGUCACUGUUUACUGCUCCGAGGAACAGCCACACAGAGAACGCUCACAGCUGCCCGGGUUCCAUUUCCCGUGUGGACUGGACCCUAAGCCAGAAAGUCCACUCCAGAAACCUUUAGACCCGGGAACAGCCAGGACGCGGGCAGGACUUGUCCGCCGCCUGAGAUGGUAAACAGACUCUCAGCUACCGGAGCCCCAAGAGGGACAGCGCGGUGGACAGGGGCGCGGAGAACCUCCGGAAAGCGGCCUCCCUCAGCACAGCCCGGGCGCUGGAGAUGGGGCUGGAACGCAGCGAGCCCCGGAACCAACUUCCCCGAGGAGCCCCGAUUCAACUCCCAUUUUUAGCAACCACCUUGAAAGUGAGUGAGGCUGAACUUGGAACGCGUCCCUUAAAGUCCAGCUCCGUUCAAGCGCGGAAGGCAAGUGCGCUCCGGAGAGAAGACUUGCUUUGUGUUUUCGAGUUAGCAAACUUCAUUUUGGAACCAGGAGAGAUCCCCUCGUUAAGUUCUCAAAGCAGACCCCCUCUAAGGAGCUCAAACUCAAGCAUUCCCACUGGUUUGCCCUGGGGAGGGAAGUCCUCCAGAGGUGUCAGCUACCCGCAAAGCACAAAGCAAAGCGAGAGAGGCUGGCAAGUGAGUCUCACCUACCUGCACAGCCCACCGUCCGCUUCCGGACCCCUCCCACCUGCUUAGACGGACGCUCUUUAAAGAGCCCAGCCCCAGAAGGCGGCAGAUCGGAGACGGCCCGGCACACGGCUGCGCUUUAUCAAGAUGCCUGUGCGGUGAGGGCUGUAAGGGCAAAUCCUCACCGAGGCCAAUAAGGGAGAAGGGGCAGGGAGAAGGGACACCCAAGCCACACUUGCCGGAACCCACUGACUCUAUCGGCUGUGUGGGGCGUGGGUGUUCGAGACCAGGGAGCUUCCCGGGCCGGGCACCUGGUGAGGGAAGGUGGCGGGAUCUUCCACACUGACAAUUCAUUUGGCAGGGGAGCACUUCUGCCCCCGACCACGAGAGCGGCGCGACAGGUAAACAGCAGCAUAAUCAUUAACACAGCUCGGAGAGCAGGAACUUCCAGCGGCCCCAAACACCAACUCCACCAAUGUGGAGUCUUUGUCAAAAGACGCCACAACACGUGGCGAGGAGCAGUACGAUCAGAGACAGCAGGCAGAGCGGUUUCUUUUACCUAAGGGAGACCUAGGUGGAGAGAGACACGUUUCCUGUACCCUCCCCAGGCUCCCGGAAAGGUGUGCGGAAGCCGGCACCCUGGCACACUGUGUCCCGAACGCGGCAGGAUCACAGAGGAAGCCGCGAUCGGACUUAGAGGAGAUGGAGCCCCCCACUCACCGAUGAGAAAACUGAGAACCACGGGGCUCGGGAGAAGGGACACGUUCGCCCUGUCCCCCUCCCCACCCAAAGCUUCCACAUCAGGGCCUCCCUCCGGGGAACCCCUGGCAGGGACUUUUGACGUUUCAUGGUGUCAGAAGUGGGAUUCAAACAGAAGACAGCCCCCCACCCCCACCCCACACACAGACCCCGAGGCUGCUGAGCAAACAGACCCUGGCACCCACAGAGCCCACUGAGCUCACCACUUUCUUGUCGACCCUGAAGAGUGAAGAUGUAAAGGAUCCUUUUUCUCCUCUUCUGAAGUUAUCUAUGACUCACAACAGUUUGGUAAAGUGUAUCUGCGACAAAGGUUGAAACGUUUUUCUUCCCCCUCCCCCCAUUCCUCCAGAAAUUAGAAACUCUUGCUAUUCUCUUUUUAAAUUGUUUUAUUUUUUAAUUAAAUACUCUUAUUUUUCAUGACAA